rnacentral:rRNA from 1 species
AGUGGCGGACGGGUGAGUAACGCGUGAGGAUCUGCCCUUAGGAUGGGGACAACAGUUGGAAACGACUGCUAAUACCCAAUGUGCCGAAAGGUGAAAGCUUUAGCGCCUGAGGAUGAACCCGCGUCUGAUUAGCUAGUUGGUAGUGUAAUGGACUACCAAGGCGACGAUCAGUAGCUGGUCUGAGAGGAUGAUCAGCCACACUGGGACUGAGACACGGCCCAGACUCCUACGGGAGGCAGCAGUGGGGAAUUUUCCGCAAUGGGCGAAAGCCUGACGGAGCAGCGCCGCGUGAGGGAAGACGGCUCGUGGGUUGUAAACCUCUUUUCUCUAGGAAGAAGAACUGACGGUACUAGAGGAAUCAGCAUCGGCUAACUCCGUGCCAGCAGCCGCGGUAAUACGGAGGAUGCAAGCGUUAUCCGGAAUUAUUGGGCGUAAAGCGUCCGUAGGUGGUUAUUCAAGUCAGCUGUCAAAGGAUGGAGCUUAACUCCAUAAAGGCAGUUGAAACUGUGUAGCUAGAGUGCGAUAGGGGCAAGGGGAAUUCCCAGUGUAGCGGUGAAAUGCGUAGAUAUUGGGAAGAACAUCGGUGGCGAAAGCGCCUUGCUGGGUCUGCACUGACACUGAGGGACGAAAGCUAGGGGAGCGAAAGGGAUUAGAUACCCCUGUAGUCCUAGCCGUAAACGAUGGA